GAUGAACGCUAGCGGCAGGCUUAAUACAUGCAAGUUGAGGGGCAGCGCAGUGUAGCAAUACAUGGGCGGCGACCGGCAAACGGGUGCGGAACACGUACGCAACCUUCCUUUAAGUGGAGAAUAGCCCAGGGAAACUUGGAUUAAUACUUCGUAACAUCAUGAGAUGGCAUCAUCCUAUAAUUAUAGCUCCGGCGCUUAAAGAUGGGCGUGCGUCUGAUUAGGUAGUUGGCGGGGUAACGGCCCACCAAGCCUGCGAUCAGUAACUGGUGUGAGAGCACGACCAGUCACACGGGCACUGAGACACGGGCCCGACUCCUACGGGAGGCAGCAGUAAGGAAUAUUGGUCAAUGGACGCAAGUCUGAACCAGCCAUGCCGCGUGGAGGAUGAAGGUCCUCUGGAUUGUAAACUUCUUUUAUUUGGGAAGAAACCCGGGAUUUCUAUUCCGGUUGACGGUACCAGAUGAAUAAGCACCGGCUAACUCCGUGCCAGCAGCCGCGGUAA
rnacentral:rRNA from 1 species